GCUUGUCUCAAAGAUUAAGCCAUGCACGUCUGAGAAUAAAGAGUUUUCUCUGAAUCUGCGAAUGGCUCAUUAUAUCAGUUAUAGUUUAUUUGAUGGUGACUUACUACAUGGAUAACCGUAGUAACCUAGAGCUAAUACAUGCACAAAAUCCCGACUUCACGGAAGGGAUGUAUUUAUUAGAUAAAAAACCAAUCCGGCAACGGUGCUUGGUGAUUCAUAAUAACUGUUCGAAGCGCACGGCCUCGCGCCGGCGCUAGUUCAUUCAAAUUUCUGCCCUAUCAGCUUUCGACGGUAGUGUAGUGGACUACCGUGGCGCUAACGGGUGACGGAGAAUUAGGGUUCGGUUCCGGAGAGGGAGCCUGAGAAACGGCUACCACAUCCAAGGAAGGCAGCAGG
rnacentral:rRNA from 1 species